UUUUAGCAGAAUUGACAACGUGGAAUUCAGAUGGAUCGUACAAACUAAGUUUGAUCUGAGCGUCCUUUUCGGUUUUCACAAUGUUCUUAACCGCUUUCAUGUAACUCUUCCUUGGAGACUCACCUGGCUCAGUCAUCUGCCUCUUGAGGUUCACUUUGAGAAAUGAAUUGUCCGGGCCAUCGACGUCGAGGUCAAGGUAGAAAGUGACAUAGUGAUCAUGAAUUACUCCUAUUAUAUUUUCAGCCAGAAGCGUGCCGUGAAGCUCUUCUUCGUUACCUUCUUUAUCUUUAUUCACUUGAUUUUUGUUUUGAUAUGAUGUCCCUUUCACCAUUAGAAUUCCACUAAGUCCCACCUAGUCAUUGUCCAUACAUUUGUGUGGUUUGUGACAAAAACGAAUAUUCAUUGUUCCACGGAACUUAAAAAAAUCUUUAUUUUUGCAAGAUAUUGUAAAGUAGAAAUUAUAGUACCUUAGUUUUGAUUAGCCCAUCAGUUUGGAACUCAUAAUCAAUGAUGUAAUCAUAGUUACCUACCGAAGCUGCCAUUCGUACCACUAACGUCACCUUUGGUCUCACUUCCUUUAUCUAUUUAAUCAAAAUGUAACUUAUCUUAAGUGUAAGUAACACCAUCAAGGUUUUUUAAUUGAAUUAUUAUAACCAUAAAUUAUUUCUACGUAAAUUUUGAAUUAUAAACAGAAUUACCAACCCAAGACAUCUUGUAAAUGCCAUUAGUUUGAGGAGUGAAAAACAGUUCACCCUAGUGUUGAAUAGGGGCAUUACUAUAGAUGAAAUUGUGGAGUCGGAAAAGAUACAAUAUGAAGAUUUUGGAGACUCGAACUCUUGUGGUCGACACUCAGCAGAGGUUUCAGUCGACACCCUUGAAAAUUCACGGAAGUUCGAGUUCUAUCGGAAGGAAAUCGACUGUAGUCGACACUAAAGGAUCGACACUUAGAGAUUGACACCACCUUGAUGUCACUUUUCAAUAUUCGUAGAAAGCCACAGAGAAAUUCUACAACAAACAAAAUCAACCCCAGUCGAUACCAAAGUGUUGACACCAUAAGUCACUGUCGACAGGUACACUCCUAAUGUCGGUUGACACCUUAUGCAUACAUAUGUUCUAUUCCCUAAAACAUCAAACCCAUUUGGGGAAAUGGUCUACAAGCCUAAGGUUCUUUACUCAAAUAAUCCUAGUAAUUCUGAAUAAAAGCUAAAAUAUACUGUGAAAAUAAUUAAUUAUCAAUUAUAAUUUUUUUUUGUCAUCAACUUAACAGACUCAAACAAACUCUGCAACACCCAUAUGGACAACAAAAGAUAGUUACUUCCUUGCAGUGCGUGCGAGACUAUCCGCCCUUGAAUUCUGCGCCCGUGGAAUAUAAAUGAGCUCUGAACUAUGGAAAUUUCUCUUCAAAAUCGUUAUGUCUUCUAAAUAACUUGCAAAGGCUGGUCAUUCUUCUGGUUCCGAAACCAUCUUCAGCAACUGAGAACAAUCCAUUGCAAAUGUAACAGUAAACUAUCUUAGAUUCCUCAUAAAUUCAAUUUCCCAAAUAAGAGCCUCUAUCUCCGAGUGUGGUGGCGACUGAGUCGCUCUUGUAUUCUUCGCUUCUAUUAAACCAUCAAAACCUUCUGGUGUACUAUACCACCCUUGUCCUGAAAAAGAUUCCUGAUAUUUCCAUGAGCCAUCCGUAAAACACCAUCUACAUGGGUAGCUUGAACGGUUGCUUCUAAUGGUAAUCUAGGUUGAUACAUUUUUUGUGUAAGUGAAAUUUGUGCCUCAUCCCAAAUUAGUGACCCGUUUCUGCCAAUUUGAGAGUAUCUCUAUGAUCAAUAUCCAAAUUGCUAAAUACUUUGUUGUUUAUUCCUUUCCACAUGUACCAUAAGAUCCAUGCAAAUUGAUGAUCCUCCAAUUCCGAAUAAACCCUGAACCGCCGGUGGACAUUAAAAAACACAUGGUUUAUGGAUUCUUCCGGUGCUCCACAAUGUGCACAAGUCGUAUCCCCUUGUAUAAUUUUUUCUCUUAAAUUUUUCGUAACCACAUCCUGAUACCAAUUGCCAUAAAAAAUGUUUCAUCUUAGGUGGACAUCGUACUUUCCAGCAGAAAGCCUUCAAUGGAGCUACCGAAGGACCAAACUCUGGUAGCGUUCUUUCUCUAUCCGGGUACACUCGUUCUAUUUGAUAUCCUGAUUUAACCAUGUAUUUACCAUUAUUAGUAAAAUGCCAUCCAUCACGGUCUACUGUCAAUAUUCGACUUAGUGGUAUACUUUCAAUUAUUUUCACAUCUUGAGGAUCCACCAGAUUCCGAAUUAUUUUCACAUCAGGAUCCACCUGAUUCCGAAUUACCAGUAAAUUCCAUUGAUGAGAGAAUUUACUGUAAGAUCCGGGUAAUGAUUGUGUUUAUUUUUAUUUGCUGGUCUCGGACGAGUGGAUGUGAGUCAAGGAUCGUUCCAUACUGAGAUAGAUGAUCUUGAUCCCACCCUUUUGAUUAGUCAUUUGCUAAUCAUAGAUCUAGCAGAGACAAUACUGUGCCAGCCGUAGGACGACGAGUACGAUCUAAUUGGUUCCUGGAGUGAUGUCUUCCUGAAAUAUCUUCCUUUGAACACAUGAGAGAACAAUGUGUUCGGUUUCUCUAUCAACCUCCAAAAUUGCUUACUAAGCAUAGCUGUAUUAAAGUCCGCGAGGUCUUUAAACCCUAAGCCUCUUUCGUCCUUAAGACUAUACUAGAGAUUGAUCCGCACACCCGCGCGGGUAUUGGUUUUUACAUUUUUAUAUAUUAAUAUUUAUUUUUCAUAAUUAGAGUUAUAUAUUUUAAAUGGAUCGUAAUAUAACUAAUUGUAUUCAAAAGAUCUGGUCCGAAACGGGUAAUAUGGUUAUUUUUGGUACAAAUAUCCGAAUCCAUUUCAAAUACAUUUUUAUUUAGAUAUUUUAGGUCCAUAUACAUCAUAACCGAACUCAUCUAGAUCCAGAAGGACCCAACUCAAAAUCCACACAUAAAUUUUUAAUAUUCAAAUGGGCCUAAUUAAAAAAAAAAUGAUACCCAAUAAGAACAACUCGUACCUAAAUGGAUAGCUAAUGGUCAUGCCUGAUUGAUUUUAUAAACUAAUAAAAAUGACUUUUUCUAUGUAUUUUGGCUAAAUUAAGUGAAAUAGAAAGAGUUUUUAAUUUAGUAAAAUAAUUAUAUGGAAUGAAAAAUUAAGUAACAAUAAAUGUAAUACAUUUUUGUUAUUUUGAUUUAAGUUAUUAUUUUAUUCACAAAAACAUGUCUUUAAAUUAUAUUUUUGACUACACCGAUUGAAACUAAAAGUAAAAAAAAAUGUUUUAAAACAAACUAACCCGAACUUUUAGCCAUAUAAAAAUCCACUUAUUUUACAUUUUUUAUUUUAUAAUUGUCACGAAGUUAAUGUUGAUUAAAUAAUAAAUAAAAAUCUACUAUUAUUAUUAUGAUAAUAUAAUUAAUGAUUUGAUGUAUUGUUAAGAUAAUAUAAUUAAUAAAAUUGUUAAACUCAGUGAAAUAUGAAAAACAAUUAAUGUAUUUAUAUUAAUGAAAUUACUAAAAAGAUAUUAUAUAUUUUUUAUACCGCUAUCCAUGUUUCCAAACAAUUCUCAUUUAUAUUGUUAUUUAUGUUUCCAAACAGUAUCAAAAGGUACUUCUGUUUUAAUAAUAUAGAUAGUUUAUCUCAUGUUUCUGGUGCAUACCUCUGGUAUUUUUCCCUGGACUCCACCAAAAUUGUGCCACUGGACUUGUUAGCUUCAUCAUCACCGUUUUUGGUAUGCGGAAGCAGGACAUUACAUGGUUUGGUAAAACCGUUACCACAGAUUUCAUUAUCACGUUCUUUCUUCCUUUAGAGCAUCUCCAAAAACACACUCUAUUUUGAAAUUUUCAGAACUCUAUAUUUGAAGUUUAAAAGUGUUCUUUUCCAAAAGCAAAACUUUAAACUUAACUUCAAAACUAUUUAUAUAUUAUCUUAUGGUCUUUAUAUUUGUCAUAAUUAAUUUAAAUUCAUAAAAGUUUUGUAAAUAACUAAGCACAUAUAUAAAAAUAUUACAAUAGUAUUAACUAAUAAAGUGUUUUAUUAAAGUGAAAUAAACAUCAAAGCAAAAACCAUCCUCGGUUACACAAAAUUUGUUUGACCAAUAUUUUGGAGAUUUUGGAGGUUGUGGAUCAAAUUUACAUGACUGCUAGUGUUGUAAUAUUUAAAUUUGUGUAAUAGUUAUCUCUUCAUGUAAUUUUUUAAAAGAUUUUUGUUGUUAAGUUUAUUUUGUAUUGUUGUUGUCUAAAUUUAGUUUUAAAAUAUUUUAAAUCUUAUUUUAAAGUUGUGUUUAAUAUUAUGUGUAAAAGUUAAAUUUAUAAAAAAAAAAAUUGAAAUUUUUAUGAGAUAUGAAAUUUUUUAGGAUUAAUACAAUAACGAGAAAAUAUUUAAUAAUUAUAAAUGUGAUGUGUAAUUGUAGGAACCAAAAUGCAAUUAAAAAUAUGAAACUUCAAAUUUGAAGUUUUGAGAAAUGAAACUUCAAAUAUAGAGCUUUCACUUCUCAAAACUUCAAAUUUGAAUUUUUUUGAAGUUUUGAAGUCUCUUUUUUUUAGAGCUAAAGAUUUCAUAUUUGAAGUUAUAGAGUAUCUUUUGAAGAUGCUCUUAGUAAAAGCCUCGAAAUUCCAUCCAUUUACUCUGUUAUUCAAGUGAUCUCGAACAAAACCAAAUUAAAAAAUUAAAAAUUUAAAUAAUAAAUAAUAUUAUUUCUAAUGUGAAAAUUUAGUGUAAUGAUUGAAAAUAGAAAAUAAAAUAUAACACCAAAACAUCAAAUUUAACGUUGAAAGCACCAAAUUUGGCAUAAUAGUCGGAGUUGUCUUUCGUGUUUGAUUUAAAAAUUAUCGGUUGGGUUAAAGUUUUUCUGAUACAACCAUUACCAAAAACGUUAAAAGCAACAAACAGGUAUUUUGAGAAUGUUAAUUUUUUUUUAGAAAAAAAUUGUCAUUUCAGCUACUCAAAAUAUCAAAAGAGACAAGGUCCCAUAGAAAAUUGAAUUUAAAAGUAUAUCAACAAUUAUUAAAAUCUUUAUUUUAAUAGUAAAAGGUCACACACGCAUAUACAUUUGCAUAUACGUAGUAGAACCUCUAUAAAAUAAUACUAGAUAAAUUAAUAAUCUCUAUAAAUUAAUAAAUUUUGUCGGUCCCAAUUUGGGACAGGUCAAAAUUUGACAUAAAUCGAUAAAAUAAUAAGAUAAUAGUUUUUUAGAAAAUUCUAUGUAAAUAUAUGGUCCCAUUAAAAUUAUAAAUUAAUAAUUUAUAUGUAUACAUAUUUUUUAUAAGUAAGAACCUAUUAUUAUAUUGUUUGUUUUAUAUUCACAAUGAAAUUAUCUUUAUAUUUUCUUAACACUUAAUAUAUUUUUGAUGAGAUUAAGUAAUAUUAUAUCUAAAACCACAUUUAAAUUCUAUACAAUAUAUAUUAUAUAUACAAAAUAAUAAAAUAAAAUUAAUAUAAAUAUCAAAUUUCGAAAAAUAACAAUUAAUUUCUAUACACUAAAACCAAAUAUUUUUCUUAUCUUAUAAUAAAUAUAUCUUAAAAUAAAAAAUCUAAAUAAAGAAACUUUUGUAAAUUAAUAUUUAUAUAAAUUUAUAUAAAUUAAUAAAAUUUCACAAUCCCAACAUUUUUAAUUUAUAGAAGUUCUAAUGUAUAUACAUCGGUUUCGAGUUUACAUCUCGUAACAAACAUUGUCUUGACUAAUUAAAGCACCACGAAAAUACAGAAGGAAAAUCUAUAAGUUUUAUUCCGUACGUCACUCAUUUCAAGCAGAUACAUAUUUAGCUUCACAAACCGGGAGAUCAUGUUCGAAGUUUGGGGCGGCCCUAAGGAUUGGAUUGCGCUCGAAGAAAUUUGCGGGUUUCAAAUCAAAACUCGAAGAAACUGUAGGCAUUAUUGGAAAGUCUUCUUGACAUGGAACGUGAUGGAAUCCGAGUGUGUACCACACAACUAUAUCCGUGUUCUCUAUGUCUCUAUCCCUGUAUAGCACCAAUAUUAAAUUAAACAAAACAAUCAAAUCUUAACUAUAUGAUGAAUAAUUAAAACUUUCAUUUAAUUUACCUGUCUGACCAAACUGCAAGAGUAUCAUCUCCAUGGCUUUGGUAAGUGAACAAACCGGCAGCCCAUUUCUCGGUCUUAUUAUACGGUGUCACCCAAAUUUGAUUAUUGGUAAAAGCUGCUCUCUUCUGCGGAGGAUCAUCAUGGUCAAGCAAACUAGCCGCCGUGGCUCUAGGGACGAUCUUGUAACCCGUGGGGUUACCGACCCGGGUGGUUUUAGCAGAAUUGACAACGUGGAAUUCAGAUGGAUCGUACAAACUAAGUUUGAUCUGAGCGUCCUUUUCGGUUUUCACAAUGUUCUUAACCGCUUUCAUGUAACUCUUCCUUGGAGACUCACCUGGCUCAGUCAUCUGCCUCUUGAGGUUCACUUUGAGAAAUGAAUUGUCCGGGCCAUCGACGUCGAGGUCAAGGUAGAAAGUGACAUAGUGAUCAUGAAUUACUCCUAUUAUAUUUUCAGCCAGAAGCGUGCCGUGAAGCUCUUCUUCGUUACCUUCUUUAUCUUUAUUCACUUGAUUUUUGUUUUGAUAUGAUGUCCCUUUCACCAUUAGAAUUCCACUAA
rnacentral:lncRNA from 1 species